CCUACGGGUGGCAGCAGUGGGGAAUAUUGCACAAUGGGGGAAACCCUGAUGCAGCGACGCCGCGUGAGUGAAGAAGUAAUUCGUUACGUAAAGCUCUAUCAGCAGGGAAGAAACACUGACCUUACGGUCAGCAGACGGUACCUGAGUAAGAAGCCCCGGCUAACUACGUGCCAGCAGCCGCGGUAAUACGUAGGGGGCAAGCGUUAUCCGGAUUUACUGGGUGUAAAGGGAGCGUAGACGGUGCGCCAAGUCUGGAGUGAAAUGCCGCAGCUUAACUGCGGAACUGCUUUUGAAACUGGCGAACUAGAGUGCGGGAGGGGUAAGCGGAAUUCCUAGGGUAGCGGUGAAAUGCGUAGAUAGUAGGAGGAACACCGGUGGCGAAGGCGGCUUACUGGACCGUAACUGACGUUGAGGCUCGAAAGCGUGGGGAGCAAACAGGAUUAGAUACCCGGGUAGUC
rnacentral:rRNA from 1 species